rnacentral:rRNA from 1 species
UUGCGUAGGCGGCUUAAUAAGUGAAUAGUGAAACCUGGUGGCUCAACCAUACAGACUAUUAUUCAAACUGUUAAGCUCGAGAAUGGUAGAGGUAACUGGAAUUUCUUGUGUAGGAGUGAAAUCCGUAGAUAUAAGAAGGAACACCAAUGGCGUAGGCAGGUUACUGGGCCAUUUCUGACGCUAAGGCACGAAAGCGUGGGGAGCGAACC